ensembl:lncRNA
AUAGUACCACUAAUCAGGAGGUCUAGAAGGAGUCAUAGUACCACUGAUCAGGAGGUCUAGAAGGAGUCAUAGUACCACUGAUCAGGAGGUCUAGAAGGAGUCAUAGUACCACUAAUCAGGAGGUCUAGAAGGAGUCAUAGUACCACUAAUCAGAGCUCCUAAAAUGACUCCACAGACAGUGAACUACUUUCUCCAUCCAGCUGUAAAAACAGACGGCAGCUGUUUCAGACUUGGUUCAGGGGUUCUCCAUGGAAACCAGAGUUAAUGUGAAGCUCAGAAGGAACCUUCAGAACAUCAACCUCUAUGGACGGAGGACCAGAACUAAGCCUGGCUGCUGAAGAACCCGAGAAGAAGCCUGAUGGAUGUUGGAGAACAUUCUUUGGUCAGAUGAAGAUCAACGAGUUGGGCUCAGAUGGAGUCCAGAUGUUUGGUGAGAACCUGAGCAGGACUACCAUAGUGGAUGCAGAGUCCUGACAAUGAAGCACGGAGUUCACUAACCCUCGUGUCGUCCUGUGAGUCAAACUGACUCAUUUUACAAUUUGAAAAUGUGAAAAAAAAA